AACUGAUACUACCUGCGGGAACCUGCGGAAGGAUCAUUAGUGAAAUUUGGGCGUCUCUGCUACAGAGAGCCUGUCUUCCACAUUUUUAACCCUGUGCACUUGACGCUCGUCUCGUGCGCUUGUCAGUCGGACUCGGCUUCCUUUUGGAAGCCGAGCCGGCGAAAACCACUUUUUAACGCAAGUUGAUGAAUGUAAUUUUAAAUCUAAACCAAAUAAAACUUUCAACAACGGAUCUCUAGA
rnacentral:misc_RNA from 1 species